rnacentral:miRNA from 14 species
UUUGUGUGUCUAUAUGUGUGUCUGUGUGUAUGUGUGUGUGCGUGUAUGUGUAUACACACACACACACACAUAUAUAUAUAUAUAUAUAUAUA